GGAUACGUGGGCUAAUGGUAGGGCGUUUGAUUCCAGAUCAGAAGGUGGGGUGUUAGAUUCACGUCGGGUUUU
rnacentral:tRNA from 1 species